AGUGAACGCUGGCGGUAGGCCUAACACAUGCAAGUCGAACGGCAGCACAGUAAGAGCUUGCUCUUACGGGUGGCGAGUGGCGGACGGGUGAGGCAUACAUCGGAAUCUACUUUUUCGUGGGGGAUAACGUAGGGAAACUUACGCUAAUACCGCAUACGACCUACGGGUGAAAGCAGGGGUUCUUCGGACCUUGCGCGAUUGAAUGAGCCGAUGUCGGAUUAGCUAGUUGGCGGGGUAAAGGCCCACCAAGGCGACGAUCCGUAGCUGGUCUGAGAGGAUGAUCAGCCACACUGGAACUGAGACACGGUCCAGACUCCUACGGGAGGCAGCAGUGGGGAAUAUUGGACAAUGGGCGCAAGCCUGAUCCAGCCAUACCGCGUGGGUGAAGAAGGCCUUCGGGUUGUAAAGCCCUUUUGUUGGGAAAGAAAAGCAGCAGGUUAAUACCCCGCUGUUCUGACGGUACCCAAAGAAUAAGCACCGGCUAACUUCGUG
rnacentral:rRNA from 1 species